rnacentral:rRNA from 1 species
GUGAUUCUCAACAAGGACAAUUUGGUUAAGUGUAGAUGGCAAGGUUGUAAAAAAUGUUGUUUUUGUAACCAAGAGGAAACAAUUCAUCAUCUGUUUCUAGCUUGCCCGCUUGCCAAGCUUUUGUGGCGUGCUGUUCAUGUGUCUUUUAAUGUUCCUUCGCGGACUAGCAUAUCGAAUGUGUUUGUUAACUGGUUCAGAAGGGUGGAGCGCAAUGCUACGACGCGAUUUGGGUGGGAAUUUGUGCACUACAUUGAGAUAUUUGGAACUGUCAAUAUGAUUUUGUGUUUAACAAGACAAAGAUUCAUUUUUCAGCUUAGCUACAAAGCGUUUGGAUGGAUCAGUAUGUGGUCAUUACAAGAGGUUGAAAGAUGCCAUCUCCAGGGAUUGAUCAACAUGGAUGGAGAAAGACCAAGGAGUACUACGUCAAACUUAACGUGGAUGCAUCCCUAA